rnacentral:lncRNA from 1 species
UUCCUGGGCUAGGAGUCAAAUGAGAGCUGCAGCUGACAGCCUACACCACAGCCAUAGAAAAACUGGAUCCAAGCCACAUCUGUGACCUAUGCUGCAGCUUGCAGCAACACUGGAUUCUUAACCCACUGAGCAAGGCCAGGGACUGAAUCCCAUCCUCACAGAGACUGUGUCAGGACUUUAACCUGCUGAGCCACAACAGGAAAUCUAAUCUCUGAGUUCUAAAGCUUCAAAAGUAGCCUUAAAGUAAGUAAAAUAGUCCUCUAAAUUUUGCCACUUAAUGAUCUUACUUUUUGGGUAAGUAAUUUGUGUAAAGACCAAAGUUGCAGUCAUGGGAUUAGACUAGUUCAGGGUUAUCUACAUGCCUUAGUGGGUCGUUAAUAAAGAAGUAAGGCCAUUGCAUAAAACACAGCUGUGUCAUUCCAAGUUAAUGAGCCUUCUCUGUGCCUGGUCUGUCCAUGCACUACUGUGUAGAUAGGAGUUUCUUAUCAGCCUACACAUUUUGCAUCAACAUAUCAGGGUGUUCUAUUUGGGUCUGGAAGCUCAGAUAUAAAGAAUAUUUAUCACGCUAAGAUUAGUAAGAGUUACCAUACGCACAGAGUGGCAGAUUCUUGCACACAGAGAUGUGUUUGACACUGCGUGCUAUCUUUCAGCACUAUACAGAAUGAGCACCCUAGUUGGAAACUAUUUUUCUCUUCACUGAACAUAGUAGUGCUUUAUCUGCUCUUCACCAGUAGCAGGGUUUUAUAAAAUAUCUCUUCUCUCCUCUAAUAAACCGCAAGUGGUUUGGGGGCCAUUUCUGGAUGCCUUGCAAAACGUAGGUGCUCCAUAAAUGGAUGAGUAUCGGAGGCUCAUAUAACAUUUGGUUGACAUGGGCCACUGCAUGUUUCUUCAGACCUGGAGGUGGAUUUUCUUGCUCUGUUUCCAGAAUUGGACACUAAGGGUCAUAGUCUAGAGAGUUGCUCACUGAGCCAAGCUGGGAUUAAGCCUGGAACACUGGCCCAACUGGUUAGGUGCGCUAAUGAAACACACUUGCCUUAAAGAUCACUUAAACAUAUGAACAAAAGUCAGGGAGGAAGACCUUUUUUCCUACCCUUCUAGGUUCUCCUGGCUGGUCUACGAAUUAAAUUAGACAAUUAACAUGAGAUAAUAAAACAAAAGUUUAAUAAUAUGUAAACAUGGGAGAGACCCAGAAAAACUAACUUGCCAAAAUGGCCAAAACCCUCAUUUUAAAUGUCAUCUUCAACUACGGUCAGAACGGAUGUUGUGGGUAGUAGUGUGGAACUUCAGAGGGGAGGAAAGCAACUCACAUGGAGAUGGAAAAGCAAAUGUUUGGUAAACAAAUGUUGGUUGGGUCGUGCGGAGACAAUGGGAUACAGUGUGGACUCUGAUCUCUAGGCCUACAUUUCUCCCACCACACUCAGCCCAUAUUCUUUGCUGAUAACCUCUGGCGAUGGCUCUAUUCCCAAAACAGGUCCUCUAUCUAGAUUCUUUUAGGCAGUUAGAGGGAAGGUCAAAGUAUCCUCCUGAGUCUUUUGGGCCUUGCUUGGUUUUUGCUCAAAAUAAUUUGUAUGCCAAAGAGACAUCCUGGGGCGGCAAAUUUUGCUCCCCUACAUAGAAGUACCCCAGAGGAAAGGAGCAUGAUACUGGAGAGGCAGCGAAUCCUAACAAUUCCACACCUGCCAUGGAUGCUGGUACCCUGAUUGGCUCAGGGUUCUCAUGGCAACCUUCACUUGCUACCUGCUGUCACUCAUGAGAUGCUUGGCUGGUUGCCACCUUUUUUCAGCUUGCUAGGCUUAGGAAGAACCUGAAAGGAAGCAGGGAUGGGGUGAUGCAUUAUAGCAGGAAUAAUGACUAUUCCCAAGCAAAAAUUAGUUUUAAAUGAUCAAAUGGCUAUUUACCUGCACUUUUAUACUUGUAAUGAGCACUUCUCAAUUAUCUUAAAAGAAAUAUGUCAGAACGUUCAAGAAAUAUUCUAGAUCAUUUCUAGAAAGAGCUAUAAUUUUCAUUUAAAAAUUCUUGUAUAUAUAUUUGCUCUUAGAUUCUGCAAGCUCAUACUCCUAAAUAUGAAAACAUAUUUAAUUUCUAACUCAAUGAGAAGAAAAAGACAUCAAUAUUAACUUUUGUUUAAAUGUGUUAUGCAAUUCAAUAUGUGCAUGUGUUUGUAAGAAAAUCAUGGCUUUAAAAUUCUAUAAAUAGAAAACAUCUUUAUAUUUUAUAACUGAUCAUGCUCACAUAUAAAUCAUUGAUUUCUCUAUUCCUAUACAUAGACUUGUUCUUAAACCUUUCAUUCUAACAGCUUUCUGAGUUUGUUGACAAAUGACCAACCAUAAAAUAGAUAAUUAAGAUAUUAAAAAAUAAGCAAAACAAACCAGCAAAAAAAUAAAAUAAAGCUCCCAAAGCAAACAGCAUAUUUUAGAGGGAAAAUAAUUAAAGUGCUUAAAAGAAAGCUCUAUAAAUGUUAAGAAGAUAUAUUUUUAAAACCCCACAGAAAACAAAAUGAUUUCAUAACCACAUUAAGAGAACAAUCAUUUGAGUAUAUUUACUCCAAUGUAAACAAAUAGAGGAAAAAAGGAGAGAGGCUGAAAAUAGCCAGGCUUACACAGAAAGUUAAACCUUAAAGAGUUCCCAUUGUGGCUCAGUGGUUAAAGAACUUGACUAGUACCCAUGAGGACACAGGUUCCAUGCCUGGCCUCGCUCAGUGGGUUGAGGAUCCAGCAUUGCCAUAAACUGUGAGCUGUGGUGAAGGUCGCAGACGUGGCUUGGAUCCUGCAUUGCUGUGCUGUAGUGUAGGCUGGUGGCUACGGCUCUGAUUAGACCCCUAGCCUGGGAACCUCCAUAUGCCAUGGGAACAGCCCUAAAAAGACAAAAAAGUCAAAAAAAAAAAAAAAAAAGAAGAAAGAAAGAAAGUACUCAGACCCAAACAACUUGGUACUGUGCUUCAAAUUUUUGUUUCAAAAAAUAUUAACAAGUAAUAAUAAAUUAUAUGAUUGAACUCCAUUCCAUUCUUUGUUCAAAAUUCUGUCAUACACCGAAGAGCUCAGGCUGGGCCUCUGGUUUUCCGCUGCUCCAGGUAAUAUGAUUACGAUGGACCCCAGUGCUCUCCACCUAUCAAUGUCAAUCUGCCUGGACUGUUCCACGACAUCUUUUAUCAGUGAGAGCUGCCUGGUCUUUCAUGCCAGAGCCUUACAGGACCAAAGGUUUUAUUACAUUAAUAUGUUUCUGACUAAUUCUACCUUAUCUACUUAUUCACCUUACCUUUAAAACCCAAUUAAAAUCUAAUUUAUCUCAUCUUUGGAUUCUGAACACUAUUUGGCAAUGAAUCUAACAGUCCUGUAGUAACUACAUUACUCCACAUUGUGCCUUAAGGUGUUCUAGAUAAUACCUUAAAAAAAAUUGGCAAUUGCCAUUUAAAGCUACAGUGAUGUCUUUGAGGCUGCCUCCAUCUCAUUUGAAGAACAAAUGCUUUGUCCUUAUGCAAAAGGUACAUAGUAUGAUUUUAUACCUGUGGUUUUAGUUAUAAUUUAUGUGCAUAAAUGUGAAUAGAUCAUUGCUUUUCUUAAAUUUUUAUUCACUUUUUAAAAAUGUCAGAUAAUAAAGUCUUCUGACAGCUACAAAUUCCUCCAACACAUACACACAUCACAUACACACACGUACACACACACAGCAAUGUUUUAUAAUCUUCCAAAUUGUGGAUAUACUCAUACGUAUAAAUGUUACACUGAGAAAUCUCUUUAUUUAGAAUGUCAGUCCAAAAAAAUCCAUGCUACUGUGUUUCUGAUACUCCAUUUUCUUAAGCUGUGAAAAAAAGUCAUGCAAUGUUGAUACUAAUUCUGUUCUUUAAAAUCCAACUCAAAAAUGUAUACUUUUAUUCAUUUCAUUACACAUGUAUAAAAACAGAGGGCUCCUGGAGUUCCAUGGUGACUCAGUGGGUUAAAGAUCUGGCAUUGUCAACUGCUGUGGCUCAGGUUCAGUCCCUGGCCCAGGGAACUUCCACAUGCCAUGGGCAUAGCCAAAAAAGAACAAUUAAAGGGUGCAUGUUACUUAACCACUAUACACAGUGAAAUAGAUGAGAUACACACAUGCAUAUAGAUACACAUAUAUAGUGUUUACAGCAAAAUAAAUGAUAUAUACAAGCGACUAUACACAGUGAAAUAGAGGAUAUGUAGACAUAGAGAUAUACAGAUAGUGAAUAUAGGCAGUGACUAACACAGAAAAAUAGAUGAUAUAUAUUCGUGAAUACACACAGUGAAAUAGAUGAGAUAUAUUCGUGAAUACACACAGUGAAAUAGAUGAUAUAUAUAUAUAAUACAUAUAGUGAAUACACAAAGCGACUAACAGUGAAAUAAAUGGCAGUGAGAAGAUCCCCCUCCCUUUAUUUCCCAGCUCCUUCUUGAGGGUCAAUCACUAUUCCAGGGAUUUUCACCCACAUUGAUCUUAUUUAACACGAGAAUCCUGGGAAGUAGGUAAUAGAGCAAUAAAAUCUGAGUUCAAAACAUGUGAAAAUAUGACCUAAAAACAGAAUAAAAACACUGGAGUGUGCUCAAGGUCUUAUGACUUACAAUUCCGCCUGGUUCUAGGCUUUUGGAAUGAAGGACUGCCCACAGAAGAAAAUGCAAGGAACUUUUCCAUCAGUUCCCCAAAGGUGAUCUCAGGUAGAACCUGGAUGGGUCAUGAAGUACCUCUGAAUCACUCAGAGGAAAAUGCAGCCCCCCCCCUUUUUUUUUGGUAUAAUGAUUUUUAUUUUUUUCCAUCAUAGCUGGUUUACAGUGUUCUGUUAAUUUCCUACUGUACAGCAUGAUGACCCAGUAGCACAUACAUGUAUACAUUUUUUUCUCACAUUAUCAUGCUCCAUAAUAAGUGACUAGACAUAGUUCCCAGUGCUACACAGCAGAAAUAAAAGCAAAAAUAAACCAACGGGACCUAAUCAAACUGACAAGCUUUUGCAAAGGAAACCAAAAAGAAAACAAAAAGACAACUUACAGAGUGGGAGAAAAUAGUUUCAAGUGAUGCAACUGAUAAGGGCUUAAUCUCUAAAAUAUACAAACAAUUUAUACGAUUCAACUGCAGUUCCCUUUUAAUUCCCUUUGAAGCUUUCUGAUUAGUUCUAGAAGAAAGUCUUAGCUUCUAACAAGUUACCUGAAACCUCUGCAGCCUUUUCUAAUCUUCCUCUUUAACAGAGGGAGCAGGCCUCAGGCAGGCUUCGGUAUCUGCUUAGUACUUCACUGCAUCUAUUUUUGUGGCUACCUUGCACUUGAUGACAAACGAUGCUGCUGUCCUUUUGAAAGCAUAUUUGAUGUACCAUUAACCUUGUAAUUACAUAGGAUUCAAAAGUGAAGCAAUAGAGAAAU